rnacentral:tRNA from 1 species
CGGGGUGUGGCGCAGUUGGUAGCGCGCUGUGUUCGGGACGCAGAAGCCGUGAGUUCGAGUCUCACCACUCCGA